AUUGAACGCUGGCGGCAUGCUUUACACAUGCAAGUCGAACGGUAACAGGCCGCAAGGUGCUGACGAGUGGCGAACGGGUGAGUAAUGCAUCGGAACGUGCCCAGUCGUGGGGGAUAACGCAGCGAAAGCUGUGCUAAUACCGCAUACGAUCUAUGGAUGAAAGCGGGGGACCGUAAGGCCUGCGCGGAUUGGAGGGGCGGUGGUCAGAUUAGGAAGUUGGGGGGGUAAAGGCCUACCAAGCCGACGAUCUGUAGCCGGUCUGAGAGGACGACCAGCCACACUGGGACUGAGACACGGCCCAGACGCCUACGGGAGGCAGCAGUGGGGAAUGUUGGACAAUGGGCGCAAGCAUGAUCCAGCAAUGCCGCGUGCAGGAAGAAGGCCUUCGGGUUGUAAACUGCCUUUGUACGGAACGAAACGGUCCGGGUUAAUACCCUGGGCUAAUGACGGUACCGUAAGAAUAAGCACCGGCUAACUACGUGCCAGCAGCCGCGGUAAUAC
rnacentral:rRNA from 1 species